GAUGAAGAACGCAGCGAAAUGCGAUAAGUAGUGUGAAUUGCAGAAUUCAGUGAAUCAUCGAAUCUUUGAACGCACAUUGCGCCCGCCAGCAUUCUGGCGGGCAUGCCUGUUCGAGCGUCAUUUCAACCCUCGACUUCCCUUUGGGGAAGUCGGCGUUGGGGACCGGCCGUAUACCGCCGGCCCCGAAAUGAAGUGGCGGCCCGUCCGCGGCGACCUCUGCGUAGUAAUCCAACUCGCACCGGAACCCCGACGUGGCCACGCCGUAAAACCCCCGACUUCUGAACGUUGACCUCGGAUCAGGUAGGAAUACCCGCUGAACUUAAGCAUAUCAAUAAGCGGAGGA
rnacentral:misc_RNA from 1 species